CCGGGCGUCGGCCUGUGGGCUCCCC
rnacentral:siRNA from 1 species